rnacentral:rRNA from 2 species
UACGUAGGGGGCAAGCGUUGUCCGGAAUCAUUGGGCGUAAAGCGCGCGUAGGCGGCCCGGUAAGUCCGCUGUAAAAGUCAAAGGCUCAACCUUUGAAUGCCGGUGGAUACUGUCGGGCUAGAGUCCGGAAGAGGCGAGUGGAAUUCCUGGUGUAGCGGUGGAAUGCGCAGAUAUCAGGAGGAACACCAAUAGCGAAGGCAGCUCGCUGGGACGGUACUGACGCUAAGGCGCGAAAGCGUGGGGAGCGAACAGG